rnacentral:rRNA from 1 species
UACAGAGGGUGCUAGCGUUGUUCGGAAUCAUUGGGCGUAAAGGGCGUGUAGGCGGUUUGUUAAGUCAUGUGUGAAAUCCCUCGGCUCAACCGGGGAACGACGCAUGAAACUGGCAAGCUAGAGUACCAAAGAGGGGGGUGGAAUUCCCGGUGUAGCGGUGAAAUGCGUAGAUAUCGAGAGGAACACCAGUGGCGAAGGCGAGUCCCUGGACAACACCUGACACUGAGGCACGAAAGCUAGGGGAGCAAACAGG